UGGGGAAUUUUGGACAAUGGGCGAAAGCCUGAUCCAGCAAUGCCGCGUGUGUGAAUAAGGCCUUCGGGUUGUAAAGCACUUUUGUCCGGAAAGAAAUCCUUGGCUCUAAUACAGUCGGGGGGAUGACGGUACCGGAAGAAUAAGCACCGGCUAACUACGUGCCAGCAGCCGCGGUAAUACGUAGGGUGCAAGCGUUAAUCGGAAUUACUGGGCGUAAAGCGUGCGCAGGCGGUUUGCUAAGACCGAUGUGAAAUCCCCGGGCUCAACCUGGGAACUGCAUUGGUGACUGGCAGGCUAGAGUAUGGCAGAGGGGGGUAAAUUCCACGUGUAGCAGUGAAAUGCGUAGAGAUGUGGAGGAAUACCGAUGGCGAAGGCAGCCCCCUGGGGCCAAUACUGACGCUCAUGCACGAAAGCGUGGGGAGCAAACAGGAUUAGAUACCCUGGUAGUCCACGCCCUAAACGAUGUCAACUAGUUGUUGGGGAUUCAUUUCCUUAGUAACGUAGCUAACGCGUGAAGUUGACCGCCUGGGGAGUACGGUCGCAAGAUUAAAACUCAAAGGAAUUGACGGGGUCAUA
rnacentral:rRNA from 1 species